AACGAACGCUGGCGGCAGGCUUAACACAUGCAAGUCGAGCGCCCCGCAAGGGGAGCGGCAGACGGGUGAGUAACGCGUGGGAAUGUACCCUUUGCUACGGAACAGCUCCGGGAAACUGGAAUUAAUACCGUAUGUGCCCUUCGGGGGAAAGAUUUAUCGGCAAAGGAUCAGCCCGCGUUGGAUUAGCUAGUUGGUGAGGU
rnacentral:rRNA from 1 species